rnacentral:rRNA from 1 species
UACGUAGGCAGCGAGCGUUGUUCGGAGUUACUGGGCGUAAAGGGUGUGUAGGCGGUUGUUUAAGUUUGAUGUGAAAGCUCGGAGCUUAACUCCGAAAUGGCAUUGAAUACUACUGGGCUUGAGGGUCGGAGGGGAGACUGGAAUUCUCGGUGUAGCAGUGAAAUGCGUAGAUAUCGAGAGGAACACCAGUGGCGAAGGCGAGUCUCUGGACGACCCCUGACACUGAGGCACGAAAGCUAGGGGAGCAAACAGG